GGUUUAAUUCGAUGAUACGCGAGGAACCUUACCCGGGCUUGAAUUGCAGAGGAAGGAUUUGGAGACAAUGACGCCCCUUCGGGGUCUCUGUGAAGGUGCUGCAUGGUUGUCGUCAGCUCGUGCCGUGAGGUGUCGGCUUAAGUGCCAUAACGAGCGCAACCCCUCUCCUUAGUUGCCAUCAGAUCAAGCUGGGCACUCUGGGGACACUGCCACCGUAAGGUGUGA
rnacentral:rRNA from 1 species